UACGAAGGGUGCAAACGUCGCUCGGAAUUAUUGGGCGUAAAGCGCACGUAGGCGGCAUUGCAAGUCGGAUGUGAAAUCCCUCGGCUUAACCAAGGAAGUGCAUCCGAAACUGCUAUGCUUGAGUACUUAAGAGGAUCGCGGAAUUCCCGGUGUAGAGGUGAAAUUCGUAGAUAUCGGGAGGAACACCAGUGGCGAAGGCGGCGAUCUGGGAAG
rnacentral:rRNA from 1 species